rnacentral:rRNA from 1 species
AUCUUCCGCAAUGGGGGAACCCUGACGGAGCGACGCCGCGUGGACGAAGAAGGCCGCAAGGUUGUAAAGUCCUUUUGCAGGCGAAGAAUAAGGAGGAGAGUGGAAAGCUCUUCUGAUGACGUUAGCCUGCGAAUAAGCCCCGGCCAAUUACGUGCCAGCAGCCGCGGUAACACGUAUGGGGCGAGCGUUGUUCGGAAUUACUGGGCAUAAAGGGCGUGUAGGCGGUUCGGUAAGCCUGGCGUGAAAGUCCUCGGCCUAACCGGGGGAUGGCGCUGGGAACUGGCGGACUGGAGUUUUGGAGGGGGAGCUGGAAUUCCUGGUGUAGGGGUGAAAUCUGUAGAGAUCAGGAAGAACACCGGUGGCGAAGGCGAGCUCCUGGCCACAGACUGACGCUGAGGCGCGAAAGCGUGGGGAGCAAACAGGAUUAGAUACCCUGGUAGUCCACGCUGUAAACGAUGUGCACUAGGUGUUGGUGCCAUACGGGCAUCGGUGCCGUAGUCAAGGCGAUAAGUGCACCGCCUGGGGAGUAUGCUCGCAAGGGUGAAACUCAAAGGAAUUGACGG